GAAACUACUGACAGCCCACAGAACCAGGCCAGACACUACAAAGUUCUGCAGGAGCUAUACAAAUCCAAGCCCAGGCCCAACAAGAAGGAUGUUGCCCAGCUGUUGGACCUGGAAUACCAAGCAAGACGGGCUUACAUCGACUCUGAUGUUCUGAAGGAGCACGACAGACCUACCAAGAUUCUUCAAGCAUAUCCCUGCUUCAGAGAAGUGGAUCAUAUAAUGGAUGAACUGCAGCGGAUCCUCAAUCAAGGAAACCCCCACUUCAUACCUGAACUGAAGAACCGCUGGAAGACCUUUUGUGAGAAGAUCCAGUUUUAUGGCGUUUUCAAAAAAGUCAUGAGACCUCCACUGGCUGAUAAAGUAAAGCGAGGGGUUGCGAUGAUGAAAGCUUUGCCAGACGUCUUCCCAUCACCCAUUGCUCCACCCAAGAAGUUGGGGCAUGCAAGUGAGGCCAUUCUUCACAUCUUGAGUCUGUGGAAGACCCCAACGCUUUCCUGAACGCAAGACCGCUCUCCAGCCCUGUAGUGAUCGUCUGUGAGAGCAACUGCAUUCUGGCCAUCGGAACCAUGCCUGUGCUGAUCUUCCCAAAGGAGGACAUCUCAGUGUGAUGUACAUCAUGGCAUGCUGCUACACCUUUCACCUCACAUACCCCAAGUGCAUAACCACACUCCUCUCUGUGCUGCAGACAGAGGUCCUCAUGGAUGCCAUCCAUGACCAAGACAUGACUUCUUCAUAUAAAAAAGCUAUGGCUGAGUGGAGGAAGUUCAGAGGACUUUUUGCAGUGUAGGAGAAGUAAAGAAGGGGAAGUUCAUACGUCAGGUGGCAGAUGAAGAUGGACAGAAUGACUUUUCAGCCCAUCAGGUCAUCCAUGAACAAAUGGAGACAGAUCUUACAUUAUAUGAGAUGGAACAUUUUAAAUUUUACUUCAACAUAAUUGAUGGCACAAUU